CCUACGGGAGGCAGCAGUGGGGAAUAUUGCACAAUGGGGGAAACCCUGAUGCAGCGACGCCGCGUGAAGGAUGAAGUUGUUCGGUAUGUAAACUUCUAUCAGCAGGGAAGAAAAUGACGGUACCUGACUAAGAAGCCGCGGCUAACUACGUGCCAGCAGCCGCGGUAAUACGUAGGGGGCAAGCGUUAUCCGGAGUUACUGGGUGUAAAGGGAGCGUAGACGGUAUGGCAAGUCUGAUGUGAAAACCCGGGGCUGAAACCCGGGACUGCAUUGGAAACUGCAGAACUAGAGUGUCGGAGAGGUAAGUGGAAUACGUAGUGUAGCGGUGAAAUGCGUAGAUAUUAGGAGGAACACCAGUGGCGAAGGCGGCUUGCUGGACGAUGACUGACGUUGAGGCUCGAAAGCGUGGGGAGCAAACAGGAUUAGAUACCCCAGUAGUC
rnacentral:rRNA from 1 species